ensembl:lncRNA
GAACGGCCUUGGCCCCGAGUUGCUCCCGUGGCCAUCCUAACUCUCCGUUAAUGUUACUAAAUUACUCAGUUGUCACUGUCCACAGUGAAGGAGCAGCAAGGGCUCGGGCUGGCAGGGUCGUUGUCCCUGAAGCCCUGCGCUUCCUUUCCCCAGCUGUAACGGACUCAAGUAAAGAGUCUUCAGCUCUGGGUCUUGAAAGCCCUUAGAUCACGAUAAUGAAAUUUCAGCCAAGCAAUCUCGCAAAUGGAAGCGCUGUGAACUGCUUUUUUCCAUGCUCAGCUGCUGAAAUGUGUCCUUAAAGCUUACAAGCAUAAAGCUUGAGGUGAUACAAUCCAUUUGAUGGCCUGACCCUCAGUCUUUGCCCUUUUGCAGAAUCUAAGCAUUUGCUUGUGGCCUUUAUCUUCACUCUGGAAGCUUGAGAAAACUGCACAGCGAACAGAGUCACUACACAGCUAGCCCCAGUUGUUCAUGCACAUUACAGAGAGUCACCAAAAAUCUAGGUGGCUUCUUCCACAGGCAAGACAAUGACGUAACAGCUGUCAGAUUGCCCCUUCUGCCAGAGUGAACCCAACCCAAAGAAACAGAAAGCAGAGACAGCGAUGAAAGAAUGGCAUUUAC